GGAGGAAUCUUGGGCAAUGGGCGGAAGCCUGACCCAGCAACGCCGCGUGGAGGAAGAAGGCCUUCGGGUUGUAAACUCCUUUUCUGGGGGACGAGGGAGGACGGUACCUCAGGAAGAAGCACCGGCUGACUACGUG
rnacentral:rRNA from 1 species